rnacentral:lncRNA from 1 species
UUUUUUUUUUUUUUGUAUUUAAUCUUGAACGAGUCUCUUUGGCACACGAAUAUUCCAUACAAUCAUAAAAUAAGCAUAUGAAUAUUUAUUUAAGUAUGAGAUUUGUAGUCUGAUGUUUAGUGCAUGUUUCGUCUGUUCUUAUGUGUGUCUUAUUAGACUUAAGAAAAGACUGUAUAGUAUUGUGUCAUAUGUCAGACGAAACAUUUGUGUGUUACAUGAUUUGUUGUUUUUAUAGAACUAAUCUUAUAAAAGAAGUAUGAUCAGGUAUUAUACUUAGUUUUAAGCGCUAAUUAAAAUCUUGGGGUGUUGAACUGUUGCCUUAACAAUUGAUUUGACAUCUCUCACACUUAAAUAUCAUGAUAUGGCUUUAACGAGGAGCCUUAUCCCUCAAACAACCAAGUGGACAUUGAAAUGAUAAUGAUAUGCACUUAAAAUUAAAGUUAUCACUUAAGCGUCACUCGAACAACUAAAUUUUUAAAUGAUAUGUAUGACUAACAAAUUAUGCAAAUUUUCUAUAACAUAACGAACUUAUUCAACUAUUUUAAACCAUUGUAACUAGUUUUAUAAAAUAUAUGUAUGUCCAAUAAUCAGUUAAAAAGUAGAAUAAUCAUAUAUAUGAAUCACACACCACAUCAAAAUUCAUUUAUCCAUGAACAAUCAAUUCUUUGCAUUCUAACUUAUAUCAAAUGUCAGAAAAAUUCGUUUCACACUCAAAUUUACUAAAUUUUCAUUUGAGGCAAAUUACUACAGUAAAUAAAAAUAACAUUUGAAUACCAUAAAAUAACACACAUAAACACAAAACCUCCAAGAACUUAAGCAAAUACCAAAAAAAAAACACCAAUGACUAAAGUAAUUGAGAUAAUACUUUCCUGCUUGAACAUAUGAAACCUUUAUAGAAAAGUUAGAAGAAAACAAUUUUCAAUGACUUUAAAGUAUAAAAAACUUAUUGUAAAACAAAUUUUGAUUAUUAAGAAUUGACUUUUACUAGACCAACAUAAAACAAUUCAGAAAAGGUAGAGAAACAGUAAAAAAAUAGAAAUAAGAAAAAAUGUAUAGAGAGAAAAAAAAACUUAAGAAAUAGAAAUAGAGCCGGGCUUACAAAAUGAUGAAUAAAAUAUUUUUUAUAAAACAUAAUAUGGAAAAUGUAGUUAGUGUUUGUUUAUAAGUUAAACACAAAUGAACAAGUGGAACAUUAAUCCAUUAUAUUUGAUCUCUACUCUCUUUUUUAAGUGGAAAACCUUAUCAACUGUAAAACGCAAAAAUAAACGCAGUCUUAGGUCCAUUAAAUUUCUUAAUGAAAUAUUCAAAACAAAAUCGUGUUUUCUAAAUUAUAUGAUUUCUCACAUUCCAGUGGUUCUAUUUACAAAAAUUCUUUACCUAUAUUUAACCUUGUAAAUUACGCUAAUUCCCUCAAAUAUUCUCAAAUUAAAGCAAGUAUCAUCUUUUAACCUUACAUAAGUAAAGAAAACAGAGGACACAAGUAUAGUUUAAAAAAUUCUCAAGUGUUAUAAUAACUUAUUUAAUACUUUAAAAUAUUAAUAUCAUAUUAAAUUCUUAAAUCGAUACAAACGGAAAGUUGAGUGAAACCCGCUUUAAACAUCGGAAUAAAAUAAUGUAACUGCUCUCACUUUUUGAGAAAGGGUCCUCUCACGUCGCGUUAUGAACUGUGAUCAACAACCAUCUCAUUCAUGUGCACGACAACAACAUGGUUUCUUAACUAUUCAUGAUUUUGGCCUUUUUGCAACACCAGUAAAGCUAUGCAUAGCCACAAAUCGACAAAGAGCCUGAUUUUCUUUCCUAUGAUGGCAAGAAAACAAGCAUUUUUUACUUUCCAUAGACCAAAGCAAUUUCAUUUUUCAGAAGACAGAAGGAUCCAGAAACAUGUAUAUAUUUAACAUAGGACGAAAGGUCAGCAACUAAAAUCAAAUUGCAGAGAAUCCGGGAUCUAUUUAUGCAUCCAAAACAUAAAAAGGUAAGGUAACCAAAAAGGGAAGAAUUAGAUAUCUUCAUAUCUGUCACGGGGAUUUGAUUCUUCCGAAACAGUAAGAACAAAUCUGAGAGAAUAAACGUACCAACUACCAUUGUUUGGUUUCCAUGCAAAAGCAUUGUAGAAAACCACCAUGCUCCCUUUCCCUUCAACAAU